rnacentral:rRNA from 1 species
GACAAACGCUGGCGGCAUGCCUAACACAUGCAAGUCGAACGGACAGAACAGGGAAGCUUUUCGGAGUGGAACUGGAAAGUUAGUGGCGGAUGGGUGAGUAACGCGUGGACAACCUACCUUGUAAAGGGGAAUAACCUCGAGAAAUCGAAGCUAAUACCCCAUAAUAACCUUGCUUCGCAUGAAGUAAGGAGGAAAGGCGUCCUUAGCGCUGUCGAUACAAGAUGGGUCCGCGUCUGAUUAGCUAGUUGGUGAGGUAAAGGCUCACCAAGGCGACGAUCAGUAGCCGGCCUGAGAGGGUGAACGGCCACAUUGGGACUGAGACACGGCCCAAACUCCUACGGGAGGCAGCAGUGGGGAAUCUUCCGCAAUGGGCGAAAGCCUGACGGAGCAAUGCCGCGUGAGUGAAGAAGGCCUUCGGGUUGUAAAACUCUGUCCUUAUCGAAGAGAGAGUGUUGUAGUAACUGACAAUACUAGGACGGUAGAUGAGGAGGAAGCCCCGGCUAACUAUGUG